rfam:Labrenzia sp. OB1 scaffold14.1, whole genome shotgun sequence.
UCAACGGUGUUUUUCGACACCACCCACAGCUUCCAUUUCAGCGUC